UACGUAGGGGGCUAGCGUUGUCCGGAAUCAUUGGGCGUAAAGCUCGUGUAGGCGGUCCGGUAAGUCCGCUGUGAAAGUCGAGGGCUCAACCCUCGAAUGCCGGUGGAUACUGUCGGGCUUGAGUACGGGAGAGGCGAGUGGAAUUCCUGGUGUAGCGGUGAAAUGCGCAGAUAUCAGGAGGAACACCGGUGGCGAAGGCGGCUUGCUGGGCCAGUUCUGACGCUGAGGAGCGAAAGCGUGGGGAGCGAACAGG
rnacentral:rRNA from 1 species